AAGUCGUAACAAGGUUUCCGUAGGUGAACCUGCGGAAGGAUCAUUCCCAAAAAGCUUUUAAACUUUUCAACGAUUGUGUGAACAACAAACAACCUUUUUCUUUUUAAUUAACUAAGUGUAACUAAAAAUUACAACAAAUUUCAUUGAUUUGCUUGAGAGAGCAAUCAGGAAAAACGCAAAAAAUUUUCUAAAACAAUAAAAACAAAAACAAAAAAGUACAACUCUUAACAAUGGAUAUCUCGGCUCUUGC
rnacentral:misc_RNA from 1 species